GACAGGCUGGGCCCCGCCCACUUGUGAAAAGCUUGGACUUCAUCCUGGAGACAAAGGAGUCAAGUCGCAGAGUCGUCAGAAGAGAGGGACUUUCCGCCCUGAGGCCCGGUUCAGACUGCCCAGGGAGGGUCCCUCCCUCCCACUCUGUCCCUGCCUCUGCCCUGAGGCGGGGGGCUCUGGCUCCACAUCCCAGGCGUUGGUGCAGAUGCUGCCACUCCAUCCACCCUCUGGAAGAGGAGGCAGGGCCUGGCCCGGCUGCAGCCACGUUGGCAGGGUCACUGCCCCAGUCCCUGGCCUGUCGCUCUGGCUCACCCCCACCCGCUCACUGCCCGUCCUCUAGCCUCCUCCUCUUCUGCUUCCCGGUUCCCUGGGUGAACUCUUCCGGGUCAGGCUUCUCUCCGCAGGCCUCUGCUGCUCCCCAGGGAGGAAGACCAGGUGGUUGCCGGCCUCGCCUCCCUUCCCAGUUGUCGGGAGGAGCCAUGGAGAACACCAUGAAGACGAAGGGCGAACUGGACCUCACGUGCCCCGGACGCCUCUCGGCUGGACUCCUGGAUGGAGAAGCAGGCAAGCAGAGGCUCAGAGAGGUUAAGGGGCUUGCCCAAGGUCACACAGCCCAGGGAAAGGGCAGAGUGGAGCUGCACCCAGUUCCAUCCAUUUCAGUCUCCUCUCCUGCCAUUCUGCCUUUCUCAUCUUCAGCCUGACCCGAUCUGCAGACAAACAGUGAGUGAGAACAAAAGAAAACAAGUUAAAAACCAGAGGCUUUUGCAGAAAACUGUUGGAGGCUGGAGUGAGUGUAAAAAUAACCAGGUUGCGGAGGGUCCGGCGGGGCCGGGCUCAGGGAGCGGAGGGCUGACGUUCUGAGCUCGAAGGCCGCACCGUCCAAAACGGCCGCCAGGAACCACACACGGCUCUUUAAGUUUAAUUAAAAUGAAAUAAAAUUAAAAAUUUAGUUCGUUGGUCUCACUUGUCACAUUUUAAGUGCUCGAUGUCCACAUGUGGCUCGAUAUCCACAUGUUGGAUAACACAGAUAUAGGACGUUUCUGGCACCGCAGGCAGUUCCACUGGGCAGCAUUGUUCUAAGCCAUCAGCGAGUCUGCCCCGUCUCCUCCUGACCGUCCUGGUGGAGGGGGAGUCGCUG
rnacentral:lncRNA from 1 species